AACCUUAUGGACCUGCGGGCGUAUACCUGCGGAGGGAUCAUUAUCAAUUUACAGCGGACUUCGGUCCUGUCUGCACCCUUGUCUUUUGCGUACUAUAUGUUUCCUCGGUGGGCUUGCCUGCCGACAGGACACUUAUAAACUCUUUUGUAAUUGCAAUCAGCGUCAGAAAACUAUAAUAGUUACAACUUUUAACAACGGAUCU
rnacentral:misc_RNA from 1 species